UGGGUUACAAAUUAAAUCGUUGAUUUAAUUGAUUAAUAUUGUUAAUUGUCUGAGCUCAUGAAUACGGAAUUAAAUGAAUGCAAAUUGUAAAAUUGAGCGCCAGUAAUUGUUUUUAAAUAAUUGAAGUAAUUAAUUUGAGUUUAGUUGAACACUGAUUUGAUUGUAAAAAUGUCAGGAUGAAAAGUAACAUGAAAUCAGAGGUUACCGAGCGAAGUUAAUUAUUAAAUACGUUAAUUACUAAAUAACGCUAGAUACAUAAUAUUUUAGUUAUUGAGUUUUAAUAAUAAUGAUCACUGAAGUAAAUGAACUUAAUGAGCUCUUAUUGAAUUGCACUGAAUUUAAUUUAUGUUGAACACGUGGUAGCAUGAUUGCAGAGGCUACUGAGCGAAAUAUAACUUUUUAUUUAAUUGAAAAUAUUGAGCAUGAUGAUAAAUAAUUAAUUGUAAUAUUGAGUCCUUUAAUUAUUUGAGCACUGGUAACAAGUAAAUAUUUAUUAAAAAAUGCACCUGUUGCGUUCUCGAUGAAUAACCUCGUGGUCGAUGAUCGCUGAUUUAGUUGAGUUCUUUGUUAAUUUAUAACUGAGUGUUUAUGUUAGCAAUUAUAAAAAUAAUUAUAUUUUUAUAAAGCUUACUGAUCACUGAUUGCUUUUAAUGCAUUAGUACUUGACAUGCGCUGCACUGCGCUAGUCAAGUUUUUAAUUGACAGACACUAGGCCCCAGUAGGUGCUGCCUUUAUUUGCCGGAAGUGCAACUACAUUUAAAUUUGAAUGUAGUUGUGAUUACGCAACACGAUUUAAAUUUAAAAGAAAAUGGCAAACACAUUUUGAGAUGUCUAAUAUUGCAGAAGACUCAUCAUCGACUUGUGAUCCUUUAUAUGUUGAUUCUAAUCAGUUGAAUAAUGAAAGAGCUAUUGAUGUUGUCAAUGAUGUUGUCAAUGAGAAUAAUCCUGCAGAGCUUGAGCGACGGUAAUUUACCGUAAUUCGGAUCCACUAAGGUAUGCUUGAUAUUAUUCAAAAUAAUCACCGUGCUGCUGCAUGCUACAGAAGUUAUCAAGAGACUAAUGUACUUAGCACUAAAGCUCGAAAUCUUUUAGUGGAUAUCAUUAUCUCGGCUGCUGUAUCACUAAAAUCUAAGUUAAAGCCAACCGAUUUUUCAAUUUUGAUUGAAAAUUUUUCCAACAGAAGAUUCCCAAAUCUACUAUAACGCUUCUGAAAGCGUUAUUAUUGGUGGAAAAGAAAUUAACAAACCAGCUAAAGGAAAAUUUUAUAAUAAAUACCGAAAUUAUAUUUCGGAUUUAAAACAAAUCAAUGAUACUGAAAGUGGACAGUCUGAAUCAUCAGAUUUUGAAGAUAUUGAAUUACAGUUAGGUGAAAAAGAAUUAUAGAGUAUUGAGCGACUAAAAUCUCGUCGGGAACUCAAAAAUAAAAUGGUUUUUCACUGGAUUCAAUCGCGAUCGGUUCGAGACAAAGAACGUCAAGACUCAAAGUUUUUGACUGUGAAUUCAACUUUUAAAAAGUGGCCUGUACUUCGAGAUUCAAUUCUUGCGCCAGAAUUAAUUGAUAAUGAUUUCAAAUCAAUGUGCCUUACUGAUGUUGAGUUGGAUCAAAAUUCAUUUCAAUCAUUUUUUAAAGAAAUUUGUGCUCUCUAAUUAAAAUCGACGAAAUCAAAAGAAUAUCGGGCUUUUAAAAAGGUGUUGGAGCUUUCUUCCACCGAUGAUGGUAUUUUAAUAUAUACUAUUUAUUUCAUUUAAACCCGGAAAAAAAUCAUCAGGCCUGAUCAUGCUUGAUCAUGCAUGAAUCAUGCGUGAUCGUGCAUGAUUCAUACAUGAUUCAAGUAUGAUAGUGUAUGAUCCUGGCAUGACUUUGCACGAUCAUGCAAAGACAUGUUCAAUCAUGCAUGACCAUGCAUGACAAGGCAAGAACAGUCAUGCAUGAACCUUGCAAUAUUAUGCAUGGCUAAGCUUAAUCAUGAACGAUCAUGUCUGAAUUUGCAUGAUUCAUGCAAAGGCAUGCAUGCCCAUGCAAAUCCAUGUUCAAUUGUGCAUGAUCAUGCAUGACGAGGAAAGAAUAAUUACACAUUAUUCAUGCAACCUCAUGUAUGACCAAGCUCAGUCACUGCUCAUACUAUCGCCUUGAAGCUUCAACUUCAUCAAUGUUCACGAUUUAUUCGUGAUGAAGGUUUUAUCCAUCGUUUAACCAUUGGGCCUAAAAAUUUAAUCAAUUGAAGCGAUCUUGAUGAUUUUGUGAAUCUUGAUACUGUUUUUCAAGACAAUAAAAAAGAUUUGUUAAUUUAUAUUUCAUGGGUUAAUAUUAACGGAACUGAAUAUGAAAUUGAUUCAGUAAUAAAAAUGAAGUCAAAUAAAAUGUUACCUGAUUUUUAUCGCAUUAAACACAUACCCGAUGAAAAAAGAUUUUAUACAAUUAUAUACCCUCGCAAAUUUGAAUCACGGUGGAAACACCGUAGAAGUGUAAACACCGUGGAUCC